AAAGAAGAAAUAAUGAGUGUAAGAAACAGUUAGGCAAUAAGGAAUCCACUCGAAAGGUAAGUUUCCAUGAAAUUCUCUUUUAUCUUUUACUAGAACAAGAAAAUUCAAAAAAAAACCGGUCAGUUAAUAUCCUCGAACUUUUUUUUUCUUUAGUCAGCAUUAGGGUUUUAAACCCUAAACUGAACUUUUUCCUUUAAUCAGCAUUAGGGUUUUAAACCCUAAACUGAACUCUUUCCAUUUAGUUAGCAUUAGGGUUUUAAACCCUAAACUGAACUUUUCCCUUUAGUCAGCAUUAGGGUUUUAAACCCUAAACUGAACUCUUUUCCUUUAGCCAGCAUUAGGGUUUUUAAACCCUAACUUUAGUCAGCAUUAGGGUU
rnacentral:lncRNA from 1 species